rnacentral:lncRNA from 1 species
AUGAGGCUCAGUGGAAAUAUCACAUAUAAGACAUGAUGCACGUCCAGAGGAGGUACAAGCAGGAAGUUCCAGUUGAACCCGUUAGCACUGUCCACCCGGGACUGUGGUGCCUGGCCUAGGCCUAGGCCUGCCCAUCGCUUGUUGUCUGAACAAGGAACCCUGGAGGGAGAGGUGGAAGGCAGAAGGAAGCCCUGGACAUACACUGGAUCCCACAUAGACAUUUGGGCACCUACCAGAAGACAUCGCCUUCUUACAAUGCAGAACAGACGAUGCACUGUCUCAGGUCACGCUUAGCCUCCUACGGGGGCACGACAGAAGAAGAGGAACAUUUAGAGAGGCACAGCUCCUACAUCCUUGGAUGGGGAGAGUGGGGAGCAAACAGGCCAGUUCACACUUCUUUCCUCUGUGAAGCCUUCCUUCUCCCAGCAUUCCCUCCCCUCACCCUACUGUGUUGUGGCCACCACUCUGCCUGGGACUACAGCCAUUUGUCCUUCUGCCUCUCCUCUGCCUGAGAGCAAGGAGCCUACUGUGAUCAGAGCUGGGGGAGCCAGUGUGAGCAGCAGGUGCAAUGAAAGGAUGUGGGAGUUUGAGACCCAUCUCUGCUGUGUGGCCCUGGCCAUGUGCAGUGGGGUUUCAAUCUGACCUCACUCAGAAAACGGAGCCACUUGCUUAGAGUCCCUCUCUCUGAACACGCUCUCCCCUCUGGAGGAAAAGCAUUGCAAUCCCAAGCUCCUGCUGCUGCCGUACAUCUGCAUCUUAUUCAUCUUUGAAGCUCCUGCAAUGCCUCCAACGGGGACACAACUAAAGGAAGCUCUCAGAACGCCCAGCUAUCCCCACUGCAGAAGGCUCUCCCUGAAAGGGCACAGGUGGAGGACGUUUGCAUUUAUCUGGAGACAGUUCAUGGAGAAACACAAAGAGGUGUCCUGACAAGACAACAGGUCCACAGCAGUCGUCAUCAUGAGUGCUCACCAUAUGCCAGGGUUCAUCUUUUAAAAUCCUUAACCAAACAACCAAACUGUGGUUGGGAUUAUUCUCUUUUUAUAGGUGAGAAAACUGAGGCUGAAAGCCAUUGGGUGGUUUGCCAAAGCUGAGAAGUAGCUGAGCUGGGGUUUGUACUCACACCACGGUGACUCGGAGGCCCAAGCCAGUUCUGACACACUGCCUUCCCAUGACAUUCCCACGACAGGUUCCCGAGGUCGUUGGAAUGCUUACACAUUUCAGCAACUUCAUGGCAACUGCCCAGCUCGACCCAGAAGAUAAUACUACCUUGUACUCCCCCUGCCGCUUCCUUCCUCCAGGCAGCUCACAGACAUGACCUCAUUCCCUCUCCCAGAGUCCCAUAGGGGUGAAGGACAGGGUGGGGAUCGUUAACUCUGCUUCCUAGGGAGGAAAGGGAGGCCCAGAGAGGGAUGCUGGCCCACCCUGGGUCAUCCAGCCAGCUAGCGGGAGAGCUGCAACUGGAAAUCAGGCUUCCCUGCCCUCGGGGACAGUUAUUUAGCCUCCUGGAUGUGAGCUAGAAUCACCCCUAAGAUGCAGCAAUUGGGGUACUCCUCUUGGGGUACUGGGACUCAGUGGCUGAAACAGCUCCAAGAGAGUUGGGCCUGUGCUGAAAACAGAAAUCCGAGAUGCAUAUAAAUUCAAUCCGUAUGAGAAGAGCAGGGUGGCCUGGGAGGAGUGGUCACCGCAGUGGCUCCACCUCCUACCCGGCCACCUGCAGCCCUGCCUGGGCUGCUCUUGGUCUCUCUGUGCCCAGCUUCCCUGGCCGGAUGCCCUGGGGGCCAGAGCAGCCGCAGGUGCGAUGAAAAGAACACUGGCCUUGAGGUCAUGGGACCUGGGGAGGAUAUUCACCAGGGGCCCCUAAGUUAGUCAUUUUAGCUCUCAGCUUUUCCAUUUUUCAUUCAAAAAAUGGGGACUCUAACUCCAUGAAAGAGACAUUGUGUGUGAAAUAUUUCAUCAUAAGCUGUGAAGCCUGCAAAGAAACUCCUGGUGUUCUCUGUAGCCUGAUUUCAUCUCUACUAAACGCUAUUUUGAAAAUGAUUUUGAAGCUGGUGGGUCACAUAGAAGGAUGGCCUGAGCAUCCAUCCAUCUUCCCUCCGGUGACCCUUUCACUUCGUGUCUGUGGUACCCAGUGCCUGGUACUGAAUGUUCCUGGGUGGCCCCGUGGUUCGGCAAACUUUCUGGAAAGGCCCAGGUAGUAAAUAUUUGAGGCCUGGUGGGCCACAUAUGGU